UACGGAGGAGGCAAGCGUUAUCCGGAAUUAUUGGGCGUAAAGCGUCCGUAGGUGGCACCUCAAGUCUGCUGUCAAAGACCGGGGCUUAACCCCAGAAAGGCAGUGGAAACUGAAGUGCUAGAGUGCAGUAGGGGUAGAGGGAAUUCCCGGUGUAGCGGUGAAAUGCGUAGAGAUCGGGAAGAACAUCGGUGGCGAAAGCGCUCUGCUGGACUGCAACUGACACUCAGGGACGAAAGCUAGGGGAGCGAAUGGG
rnacentral:rRNA from 1 species